GAUGUGUGUGCCCCAGUGGAAGUCCAGGCUUUUUUGGAGGUAACCGCUACCACGGUGGACAGGGUUCAUCAUAUUCUGGAAGCCGUCAAUAUGGUGGCCAGGCAU